rnacentral:rRNA from 1 species
GUGUCCUACGGGGGGCAGCAGUGAGGAAUAUUGGUCAAUGGCCGGAAGGCUGAACCAGCCAAGCCGCGUGAAGGACGAAGGCACCAAGCAUUGUAAACUUCUUUUGUCAAGGGACAAAAUCAGGCACGAGAGCCUGACCGAGGGUACUUGAAGAAAAAGCAUCGGCUAACUCCGUGCCAGCAGCCGCGGUAAUACGGAGGAUGAGAGCGUUAUCCGGAUUUAUUGGGUUUAAAGGGUGCGUAGGCGGACUGAUAAGUCAGAGGAAAAA